rnacentral:rRNA from 1 species
GACGAACGCUGGCGGCGUGCUUAACACAUGCAAGUCGAACGGAAAGGCCCCUUUGGGGGUACUCGAGUGGCGAACGGGUGAGUAACACGUGAGUAACCUGCCCUUGACUUCGGGAUAACUUCAGGAAACUGGGGCUAAUACCGGAUAGGAAUCCUUGCUGCAUGGUGGGGGUUGGAAAGCUUCGGGGGUUUUGGAUGGACUCGCGGCUUAUCUGCUUGUUGGUGGGGUAGUGGCUUACCUAGGCUUUGACGGGUAGCCGGCCUGAGAGGGCGACCGGCCACAUUGGGACUGAGAUACGGCCCAGACUCCUACGGGAGGCAGCAGUGGGGAAUAUUGCACAAUGGGCGGAAGCCUGAUGCAGCAACGCCGCGUGCGGGAUGACGGCCUUCGGGUUGUAAACCGCUUUCAGCAGGGGCGAAGCUUGUGGUGACGGUACCUGCAGAAGAAGCACCGGCUAACUACGUG